UCCCUGGUGGCUCAGAUGGUAAAGAAUCUGCCCACCAUGCAGGAGGCCCAGGUUCAAUCCCUGGGUAGGGAA
rnacentral:tRNA from 1 species